GUAGCUCUCCUCCUGCAAUUGUGGUUGCCAUGCUCCCACUGGCUGUAAGGUGAAUAAGGGGAGUUAUGAAGAGGACGAAGACUGCCUGCUGCCUCAGGAGCAGUCAGUAGAUGAGGCCCAGGAGAGUGACUCUGAGGAGAGGAAGAAUGGCAACAGGAAGGAAGAGGGGGAUAACGAUGAAAUUGCAGAUGACUUGGAUAAUUAGGACAAUGUGUAGGAAUACUGUCAACUCUGUGAACUCUUGACCUUUGUGUCAACAAACUCUAACCUUGCUUCACCCAUAUCCCUUUGCACCCUCAGAUAGGAAUAGGUCAGGGAGAACCAAGAGAGGAUGCCUAGUGCGUUGCUGCCAUUGAGAAAAUGGACAAUUAGGGGAUUACUGUGGAAGGAGGGGUCACUAUGUUAGUGGAUGCUCAAAACGCUGCAAACGGCAUUAGAGUGCUGCAUUUUUUCAGGCUGAGAAAGGGUCUUAUGAAAUUGUGACGUUUUGGAAAGCUGUUGAGUGCAGAAAAGUUAGAUUUACUUUGAAGAUACAGUAUGUUGCAAUGAAAUACUUCAACUGUAAAAUAUUAUUAUUCAUAUAUAAGACUCUUUAAAUAUUUUACAGAUUUUCUCUAUAAAUAUGUUAAUCAAGUUUAGCAUGUUUUAAAGUA